rnacentral:rRNA from 1 species
UACGGAGGGGGCGAGCGUUGUUCGGAUUUACUGGGCGUAAAGCGUGCGUAGGUGGUUUCCCAAGUUAGAAGUGAAAGCCCAGGGCUUAACCCUGGAACUGCUUUUAAAACUGGGUCACUAGAAUGUAGGAGAGGUAGAUGGAAUUCCGAGUGUAGAGGUGAAAUUCGUAGAUAUUCGGAGGAACACCAAUGGCGAAAGCAGUCUACUGGACUAUUAUUGACACUGAGGCACGAAAGCGUGGGGAGCAAACAGG